CAGACACAGGAUAGGGUCUGGGAAUAUAGAGAUGAAAGCGCGGCCUCCGAGAAACCUGGCAUUUCAGGACCGCAGAGUGUGGAGUGGAAUCCGAGAACUCUAAAACCGGUUCUCCCGAAGAAAUAUUUUGAAUUUUGUAUUGAUUGGCAGUCCCCCCCGCUUGCACGUCCUGAGCAAAUACGCAGAAGAUGAGCGAACGUAAUCAGGAGUCUUCUUUCACUGCUCCUGCCAAGUCGCCUGGCCAGUCAGCAAUCACUAUGCGUUUGACAGGUGCAGGCGCUGUUGAACAGAGCGAACAGCGAACAAAUACACUCAGGGGCCUCACCCUACUCUGCCUAAAACCACGGUCUCUGUCUCACCUACAAGAAUGAAAAUGUACAGCGUUUAACACAGAGAAGACAAGUAGUGACUCUAUAGCAUCUUAACUACGCUGAUGGACAGUGACUCUAAUGGGGUACGUGGGAGGGACUUGAUAAUAGGGGGAAUCUAGUA